rnacentral:rRNA from 1 species
CCCUUAGAUGUUCUGGGCUGCACGCGUGCUACACUGAUUACUUCAACAAGUGUUUUAACUGGAGAGUUCGCGUAAUCCUGAAAUGUUAUCGUGAUGGGAGUAGAGUAUUGUAUUUGUUAAUCUUUAACGAGGACUUCCUAGUAAGUGUAGGUUUAUUUGUUUUUUUUUUACGUCCCUGCCCUUUGUACACACCGCCCGUCGCUCCUACCGAUUGAUUGAUCCGGUGAAUUACAUAGAAUUUUGCGUUUUACAUGACGGAAGAUGAAGUGUUUUAAACCUUAUCAUUUAGAGGAAGGAGAAGUCGUGACA